rnacentral:rRNA from 1 species
AUGGGAACGCGAAGAACCUUACCUACUCUUGACAUCCAGAGAACUUUCCAGAGAUGGAUUGGUGCCUUCGGGAACUCUGAGACAGGUGCUGCAUGGCUGUCGUCAGCUCGUGUUGUGAAAUGUUGGGUUAAGUCCCGCAACGAGCGCAACCCGUUAUCCUUUGUUGCCAGCGGUUAGGCCGGGAACUCAAAGGAGACUGCCAGUGAUAAACUGGAGGAAGGUGGGGAUGACGUCAAGUCAUCAUGGCCCUUACGAGUAGGGCUACACACGUGCUACAAUGGCGCAUACAAAGAGAAGCGACCUCGCGAGAGCAAGCGGACCUCAUAAAGUGCGUCGUAGUCCGGAUUGGAGUCUGCAACUCGACUCCAUGAAGUCGGAAUCGCUAGUAAUCGUAGAUCAGAAUGCUAUGGUGAAUACGUUCCCGGGUCUUGUACACACCG